rnacentral:lncRNA from 1 species
CACACAUGUUGUGUGGUCUGCACUUAAGUUGAUACCUAUAAAUGGCAGGGUUGUGGGUCACAUGCUGGCUGGAGGGCUGAGCUGCAGAGGAAGACUAAGCUACACCUGGAGCAGUGGUAAUCAUCAGCCAGAGAGCAGCUUCAUUUCUAACUGCAGGGAACAGUGGUCAUGUAUCAUGUCUUUAAUGAUACAGCCCAAGGGAACUGCAAUGAUUAUUAGGUAAAAC